AGAAUCUUUUAAGCUUAGACAGAAUAUACUAUCUAUUUAAUUUGUCGAUUAGGUAAAGGGUCAUUUAUGCUUCUAUUUCUGGUGUAAAAAAAAAAAAAAAGAAGAAUUUGACACCUUGUUUUGUACAUGAGCAAUUAGCAUCUCGCUUAUAUUCCAUGUCACCAUUUUAUUAUUCCUUUCAUGAGGAGAAUCACCUAGAGUUCCCAUUUUGCAUUCCUGUAUGAAAAUAAGUUCUUGAAGAUAAUUAAAGACAACAAAUCUUAUCCUUGACAAACUAAUGCAGAUCAAUCAUAAGUUAUUAGCAAUCGCUUUCUUUUGAAAUUUUAACCAUUUGACGCUACUAGUAAGUAGUAAUAUCUGCUUAGACGUAUCAAAUUAUUUUGUCUUGUUGAUCCUUUUUAUAAAAGGCAAAAUCAAAUUGCAGGAUAUAACCUCAUACAAAAAAAAGCAAAUUCAAUAAAUCCGCUUGUUGAUUGCAUGACUAAUAUGUGCUGGUAUUAUUUAGUAGAAUGAUCUGUUUUCCAAACACUACUUGAAAAUGAUCUUUUUUGGGUGCAUUUUAUAUAUCUUUUUGUAUAGUUAUCUUUUAAAAAAAAAUAAUACUAAGAAAAUUGUGUCAUACUAUACAUCUUUAGGUUGAAAAUAUUUGUCUAAAUCUUUUGAACCCUUUUAUUCACUUAUUUUUCAGUAAAAGAAGUUGAUUAAAAUAUAAAAUUGCAUAGCUUAACACGGUUAAUUAAGAGAUAAUGUUUGCAUUAAAUCGUUUAUUAAUGAUCAGCCUUUUUGCUACGACGACAAUUAGGAGAACCUUCAACCAACAUAACAUGCUUCUUUCUUUAAUUAAUUGCAAAUUGAGAGCAACUUUAGGACCAAGAGAUAAGUAAGCCUUAAUAGAUCAAAAUGAAGGACAGUAUACACAACUCUAGGAUUUUUCCACUGAAUUAAAAAAAAAAAUUGGUCAUCUCAGCUUAACGCUUCUAGCUGCGUGCUUAGGCAUUAUCGUUAUUAAAAUUACUUUGACCACUCAUUAGUGUUAAUCAAUCAAAAUAGACAUAAUUUGUGGAUAUUAUUAAGGCUGAAACUUGAAAUUAUGCAAUUGGAAUUUAUUGUUUAUUAGUUUAGGAAUAAAACUUUGCCAAAUUUGUAAAUGCAAACUGCGAUUGGGAAUAUUCUAAAAUGUUCCGGCACUGUAGCUUUUGGAUCUUAUAGUUUGUCUUACACUUUAAUUCAGUAAUUAGUGAGUUAAUUUUCGAAAGAAAAACAAGCAGUAUUUUCUUUAGUAGUAUUUUAAAAAUUGUACUAUAUAAAUUAAUGAAAAUUUAUACAAGUCAAUUUCGAACAAUGGUCUGACAUCCAAAUGCACAGCUCUCGAGAAACACUCUCUCUUUAGCUUCCUUAAUUAUGUUUAAAAGAAGAAGCACACUCCACGAUCAAACCCUUGCCUUAUGCUUAAAAUUUGCGCAAAUCUAUUGAUUCAUUGUGCUAGAACGAAAAUAGGGUAGGCCAGCUAGGGUAAAUCAAUCAAUUUGGUCCUUGUAAAAGCCCAUAAAAAAAUGAACAACCUACUUAAGAUAAAUCUUUUAAGUGAGAAAGCUUUAAGAUUUAAAAGGUUCUUAGGAUAUUAUUAUAAGACAAAUCACUUAUAAUAAACUUCUUAGAUGGUAAGAUUUCAAGUCCCAAAAAAUUUCAAGAUUCCUAAGAUCCUAUCAUAAAAUAAAUUAUUCCGGAUAAACCUCUUAAUACUAAGGCUCCAAGGCUCAAAAUAUUUCAAGAUGUUUAUGAUCCUACCCUAAGACAACCCACUUAAGAUAAAUCUCUUAAGUUUUACGGGCAAGUCAUUUAGAACAAAACUUAUAGGUUCUAAGACUCAUAGGAUCCCAAAAUCAUGGGACUAACCCCAAAAGGUUACAAUACUUCUAGGAUCUUAUUCUAGGAUAAGCUACUUAGGAUAAAACCUCAUAGGUUCCAAGGUUCCUAUGAUCCUAGGAUUUAGGAAAAACACCGUAAGAUUAAGGUAGCGUUUACUUUUUGGAUUGGAUUGGGAAUCCUGAGGAGUGGGAAUCCUAGGAUUGGGAGUGUGGAGUAGGAGUGGGAGUAGGGAGUAGGAGUGGGAGUAGGUUGUUUACUUACACUGGAAUGGAAGCAUGGAAUAAAGAUCAGAAUCCAAUUUAUGUGUUUACUUUGACUUGGAUUGGGAGUAAAUAGUUUCAAAUUAUAAUUUUAUCCUUAUUUAAAGAAUUAUAGUUUUUAAUUACAAAACUAA
rnacentral:lncRNA from 1 species